GAUGAACGCUGGCGGCGUGCCUAAUACAUGCAAGUCGAGCGAACAGACGAGGAGCUUGCUCCUCUGACGUUAGCGGCGGACGGGUGAGUAACACGUGGAUAACCUACCUAUAAGACUGGGAUAACUUCGGGAAACCGGAGCUAAUACCGGAUAAUAUAUUGAACCGCAUGGUUCAAUAGUGAAAGACGGUUUUGCUGUCACUUAUAGAUGGAUCCGCGCCGCAUUAGCUAGUUGGUAAGGUAACGGCUUACCAAGGCGACGAUGCGUAGCCGACCUGAGAGGGUGAUCGGCCACACUGGAACUGAGACACGGUCCAGACUCCUACGGGAGGCAGCAGUAGGGAAUCUUCCGCAAUGGGCGAAAGCCUGACGGAGCAACGCCGCGUGAGUGAUGAAGGUCUUCGGAUCGUAAAACUCUGUUAUUAGGGAUGAACAAAUGUGUAAGUAACUAUGCACGUCUUGACGGUACCUAAUCAGAAAGCCACGGCUAACUACGUG
rnacentral:rRNA from 1 species